rnacentral:rRNA from 1 species
GGCGGCUCCUCCUAAAGAGUACCGGAGGAGUACGAAGGUGCGCUCAGACCGGUCGGAAAUCGGUCGCAGAGUAUAAAGGCAAAAGCGCGCUUGACUGCGAGACAGACACGUCGAGCAGGUACGAAAGUAGGUCUUAGUGAUCCGGUGGUUCUGUAUGGAAGGGCCAUCGCUCAACGGAUAAAAGGUACUCCGGGGAUAACAGGCUGAUACCGCCCAAGAGUUCAUAUCGACGGCGGUGUUUGGCACCUCGAUGUCGGCUCAUCACAUCCUGGGGCUGAAGCCGGUCCCAAGGGUAUGGCUGUUCGCCAUUUAAAGUGGUACGCGAGCUGGGUUUAGAACGUCGUGAGACAGUUCGGUCCCUAUCUGCCG